rnacentral:lncRNA from 10 species
UGUUUUACACCGUAGAUAACCAGGCAGGCAGAAUUCAUCUCCGAGGAACUGGUUCUUUUUCCUUGAAAGCUGAUUCAUGGCCCUUUGGUUAUGGCAGGAAGGGUCCCAGUUCAUCUGCAGAGAUGAGCUGCUCUGCACAGAGGAGCGAUAGGAAUUCAGGAGUUGUCUUCUUGUAGCUAAAUGAUGAGUUGUAGGGGUAAGAUUGGAACUGGGAGAAGAGAGGAUACAGGAGAAAAGCUUGAGUAAAAAGAAGGUGAAAUGGUAGAAAGCUGGACUCUAAGAAGGAAAGUAACUGGUGAGAAAUUCUGACGGAUGGCCAAGGAACUCGAGGAAUGGAGAUGUCUAAUGUUCUAUUUUAAGUUGGUUCCUGCUCCUUGGUGCUGCUCUAUUACCUCGAAACUUUCAGAAAAAGUCUGACAGAAGAGACAGAAACUAUAAACUAUAAUUUGGUUUCAGUUCAGGUCACUAAAUGCCAUUUCUGGCAUCCCUGAACUUGUGAAUGACCAAUGAUCAUAUGAUCAUGUGAGUUACUAUCAUCUCUAACCUGUGUACAACUGCCACAGCAUGAAUUAGCUUGGUGUCAGAAAAUGCCAUAGAAAGUUCUG